AGUGGCGAAUGGUGAGUAACACGUGGGNAAUCUGCCCAGAAGCAGGGGAUAACACUUGGAAACNGGUGCUAAUACCGUAUAACAACAAAAUCCGCAUGGAUUUUGUUUGAAAGGUGGCUUCGGCUAUCACUUCUGGAUGAUCCCGCGGCGUAUUAGUUAGUUGGUGAGGUAAAGGCCCACCAAGACGAUGAUACGUAGCCGACCUGAGAGGGUAAUCGGCCACAUUGGGACUGAGACACGGCCCAAACUCCUACGGNAGGCANCAGUAGGGAAUCUUCCACAAUGGACGAAAGUCUGAUGGAGCAAUGCCGCGUGAGUGAAGAAGGGUUUCGGCUCGUAAAACUCUGUUGUUAAAGAAGAACACCUUUGAGAGUAACUGUUCAAGGGUUGACGGUAUUUAACCAGAAAGCCACGGCUAACUACGUGCCAGCAGCCGCGGUAAUACGUA
rnacentral:rRNA from 1 species